rnacentral:rRNA from 1 species
AUUGAACGCUGGCGGCAGGCCUAACACAUGCAAGUCGAGCGGAUGAAGGGAGCUUGCUCCUGGAUUCAGCGGCGGACGGGUGAGUAAUGCCUAGGAAUCUGCCUGGUAGUGGGGGAUAACGUCCGGAAACGGGCGCUAAUACCGCAUACGUCCCGAGGGAGAAAGUGGGGGAUCUUCGGACCUCACGCUAUCAGAUGAGCCUAGGUCGGAUUAGCUGGUUGGUGGGGUAAAGGCCUACCAAGGCGACGAUCCGUAACUGGUCUGAGAGGAUGAUCAGUCACACUGGAACUGAGACACGGUCCAGACUCCUACGGGAGGCAGCAGUGGGGAAUAUUGGACAAUGGGCGAAAGCCUGAUCCAGCCAUGCCGCGUGUGUGAAGAAGGUCUUCGGAUUGUAAAGCACUUUAAGUUGGGAGGAAGGGCAGUAAGUUAAUACCUUGCUGUUUUGACGUUACCAACAGAAUAAGCACCGGCUAACUUCGUG